AAUAACUAUCCCCACUUGACCUUGAUCAAGUUCCUUAACCCUUCAGUGACCAGAAGCAGGUGGUUAAUAACAUGGGAGCCAUUUAGCACCCCCUUCAGAAGCUUGUCAUCAGGACCGAAUAGGUUAAUGCAGAUAUUCUUAGAACAGCGGUUGGCACAGAGUUGAGUGUCCUUUCUUCGUUAGCUGCCACCCUCACCAUCCUCAUCAUUUGUGACAGGAGCCGUGGUACUGUUUUAAGAGUAGGAACCAGAAAGUUUGAAGGAACAGAAAGGUGAAGUAACCUACCCAAGGUCAGACAGCAAGGGACAGUUUGCAGACGCAGCUCGGAUCUCGUGUUGCUGUGGCUCUGGCGUAGGCCAGCGGCUACAGCUCCGACUAGACCCCUGGCCUGGGAAUCUCCAUAUGCCACAGGAGCGGCCCAAGAAAUGGCCAAAAAAAAAAAAAGAAUAACUUUGUGAUAUGAGUUACAGAUAUCUUAAUGGAAGCCAAUUUUUUUUUGAAUUUUAGGGCCACACCCAUGGCAUAUGGAGGUUCUCAGGCUAGGGAUCCAAUCGGAGCUGUCACUGCCGGUCUAUACCACAGCCCACAGCAAUGCUGGGUCCUGAACCCACUGAGCGAGGCCAGGGAUUGAACCCGCAACCUCAUGGUUCCUAGUCAGAUUCAUUUCUGCUGCGCCACAACGAGAACUCCUUAAUAAAAGGCAAAUUUGCUCAUUCUUCCCUCUCACUUAAAACCCACUAGUCUCCUAUCUAGCCACUUGUGGUGGACCAUGAUGAGAUAAUAUGAGAAAAAGAAUGUACAUCUAUGUGUGUGUGUGUGUGUGUGAGAGAGAGAGAGAGAGAGACUGGGUCACUUUGCUGUACAGUAGAAAAUUGAUAGGACACUGUAAACCAGCUAUAAGAGAAAAAAUAAAAAUCACUAUAUAUAAAAAAAUAAGACCCAUUAGGCUCUUGGCUCCUCCAGGGUGGGAGGGCAUGUUUCAUUUGCUGAGGUAUCUCCAGGACCUGGCGUCUUACCUGACAGCAGAAAAGAUGUACUGAUGGAGGCGGAGACCUUGCCUCCCAUCCACAGCCCUGUAAGAUCCAUUGCCUCUGGCACAGUGCUCAGGGCUUGGCCACUGUCUCCAACCCUGUGCCCGCUUUCCCUCAGGAAAAGCUCCAGUCAGGGCAUCACGCUGGCCCUCAGCUCCAUCUCUGGUCAUUUACUCCUUUGCCUUUAAACGUCCUCUUCUAGUUCCGCGUGUCCCUGCCAAUCUCUUGUGCUUCCUUCAAGACCAAGCUCAAUGUCACCACCGCUUAGAGUCCCUCUUGGACUCCUCUACUCCCAAACCUCAAAGCAGGUCACGUGGGUGCCUUAGACGAUGUCCUUACCCCUGAGGGUCUGGUUGGACCUUGAAGGAUGGAUUGGCCUUGGACUUGUGUUGGGAGGGGUACCCAAGCCAGAGGGAACAGCGUGGCCAAGGCUUAGACCUGGGAAAAUGCAGGUUGUGAGAGAGCCACCCACUGCUUCCUCCAAAUCGUUAUUUUCUCCAGUGUUAAUUCUAGGAUUUUCCCUCCCAAAGCAGAGUUAAAGUCUACGGUAGCAUUUUCAGUUUCCUUAUGACCCGAUAGGGUCCCCUUUGCCUCUGUUUUCUGUGGCUACCUCGCUUUUCCUGUUGCCUUAUCGCCUCAUCUUUGGGGGUUUUGUUGUUGUUGUGAUUGUUUCAUAAAGCCCAUGGAUUCUUAAAAUGUGUUGAUAUUGUGAAUUUGAUAUUUUGUCAAACUUAUCCUUGUUUCUGGACUCUGGUGGGAGUUUCAUCUUCUUUUGUAUUGGCAGCGUUUUUUUCAUAGGAUCCUUUAUAAUUUUGUUUUUCACUCAUUUUUGAACAAUGGGAGGUUUAUUUUGGCCUAAGCAAAAGCAGCAAGCAGCUCUCACUGGACAUGGGGCAGGUCCAGUGACUCUCAGGCUGCAGGGGAUCGGAGGAGGCAUCCAGGGCAGCCUCUGCCAGGGAACCUUCUCUCUGCAGGGAGCUCCGCCCCAUCUGUAUCCUGCUUCUGGUUUGAUCCAGCCUCCUCAGCAGGUAUGGCCUCUGAUGGCCAGCCCUUUCCUUUCAGGUGCUUAUAGCAUGUGUCUGUUUUCUGCUUGUUGUAUGUCUUCAGCAUCAGGGCAAAUGGAGCUCAUGGACCCGCCCCCUGUUGCAUCUGAGUCCCUCUGCCCCUUCCUGUUGGUGGAGCUUGGCUGGGAUGGCCUCCCUCCUCCUCCCCAGUGAUAUUCUUUCUCAGGAAGGAGAAUUUCUAGCUUCUCUGUCUGGAGGGUUCCUUCCUUCUGACCCAGCCAGCCUGUAGCCUGCUGAGCAGAAGCUCUUUGAUAUAUCCAGCACAUUCCUGGUAUCCUCUGCUCAUUCUCAGCACCCCCCCCCUUUUUUUUAAGUUUUAUCCAGGUAUAGUUGAUUUACAAUGUUGUGGAAGUUUCUGCUGUACGACAGAGUGAUUCUGUUACCCAUGUACACACAUCCAUUCUCCUUCAGAUUCCUAGAUGAUACCAGAAUAUUGGGUAGAAUUCCCCGGGCUGUGCAGCAGGUCCGCAUUGGCCAGUCAUUCCAUAUGCCAGAGUGUGCAUAUGCCAUUCCUAACACCCCGCCGCCCCCCCACCCCCUGUCCAACCCUCCCUGCCACCUGUCCGCUUUGAUCCUGUUUUCCCAGCCAGUGGUCAUUUCUGUGAGAAUCUUACAUGGUAGGUGCCUGGUGUCUUUGCAGACAGCAUGAGCUUGCUCGGACAUUAUGCAAAGACUUGUAUGAGAAAGAAUCAUUUGCAUGGAGCAAAAAGGGCAAUUCUGGUGGCAGAAUUCUAGAAUAUGUUUAGGGGAGAGACAAAGUCAAUGGCAUUGAUUCCCAGUUUCCUUCUCCUCACAUGCCAUAGGCCUUGUGUGCUGGUGGAGUCUGCUGCCUACCCUCUUUUGAUGACUGGCAGGUGGUCAGUGCAAAUGAGCAGUUCCCCUAUCCCUCUCCCUGAGUCCUCAGAGGAUCCGUCCAGUGAGGUCACAGUAGCAAGUCUCUUGUUUGGGAACACUGGCUACUCUCCUGCCCCAUGGGAGGGAAAACCCACCGUCCACAGGAUAUGUGGAGCACCAUCAAAAAUACAAGUGGGUGAGGAGUUCCCGUUGUGGCUCAGCAGUAAUGAACCUGACUAAUAUCCAUGAGAAUGUGGGUUUGAUCCCUGGCCUUGCUCAGUGGGUUGGGGAUCCGGUGUUGUCAUGAGCUUACAGUGUAGGUCGCAGACCCUUGGCUCGGAUCCUGUGUUGCUGUGGCUAUGGUGUAGGCCGGCAGCUAUAGCUUUCUGAUUCGACCCUAGCCUGGGAACCU
rnacentral:lncRNA from 1 species